rnacentral:lncRNA from 1 species
UGUCCGCCUCAACAGGAGAAAAGACAAACAGUUCCACAGCACUUCACACAAUGCCUGCUAGGUCGCGAUUGUUGGUCGGAGGGGUCGAGGAGCCUGGAUCCCGCCUGAGCUGGGCGUGCGCCAUCGUGGAAGCACCACGGGGAUUGCCAGGACAGGUGACUCACGGCCGGGAGUGAGCGGGCAGGAGCGGCCCCAGCCGGGCCACCAUCACCCAAGCAGGCUGCACAUCUCUCCACUCCACGACUCAGUCUCCUCGUAUGCCAAGUGGGAAUGAUAAAGUCAACAACAUUUGGCCAACAUGACUGGAGACCUCAGGAAGCCUUCUUACAAAGGCCUGAUCCUCAUUACCAUGGAAACCAGGUAGUGGAUCUUAGCAAAACAGCUCAGACCAUUUUUCCUACCGAGACGCGAUGUUCAGGAGAGCACGUCCGGUUGCUGGUGGUCAGAACCCAGCAAGUUCUUGGAAGGCCCUGGGAAGGGCCGAUCAGGGUGAGGUCAGAGGCUAACGUCAUUUUCCUCGUGGCAGCUCUGGGCCGUCUCUGCAGUGUGAAAUAUUUGUGGUCUCCCCGACUUUCUGUGGGUCAGUCACUUUUUUGCUUAGGAUUUAUGAUGGGGGAGCUGGGACCAACCAUCUGUGCCAGCAACUUCAAAGAUGUGUUUUGGUUUACAUUCUGUUACAAUGAAGCUGAUGCAAAUUGGUUUUGUUUUUUUUUAAAUUAUUUACUUGUUUUGGAAAGGGUCUAAUAAAGGGAUGAAUGAGUCCUGGCCAUGGUUAUAAUAUGGUUU